UAAAGUGGCGCACGGGUGAGUAACGCGUGGGUAACCCACCUUCGAAUCUGGGAUAACUCCGCGAAAGCGGUGCUAAUACCGGAUAAGACCACAGCCGAGUUCGGCGGCAGAGGUAAAAGCUGACCUCUCCAUGGAAGUUAGCGUUCGAAGACGGGCCCGCGUCCUAUCAGCUUGUUGGUGGGGUAAAGGCCUACCAAGGCAGCGACGGGUAGCUGGUCUGAGAGGAUGAUCAGCCACACUGGAACUGGAACACGGUCCAGACUCCUACGGGAGGCAGCAGUGAGGAAUUUUGCGCAAUGGGGGAAACCCUGACGCAGCAACGCCGCGUGGGUGAAGAAGGCUUUCGGGUCGUAAAGCCCUGUCAGGUGGGAAGAAACUCUUCAGUACUAAUAAUGCUGAAGUCUGACGGUACCACCAGAGGAAGCACCGGCCAACUCCGUGCCAGCAGCCGCGGUAAUACGGAGGGUGCAAAGCGUUGUUCGGAAUUAUUGGGCGUAAAGAGCGAGGUAGGCGGCUUGGUAAGUCAGAUGUGAAAGCCCUGGGCUCACCCAGGAAGUGCAUUUGAAA
rnacentral:rRNA from 1 species